GGGGAAUAUUGGACAAUGGGCGCAAGCCUGAUCCAGCAAUGCCGCGUGUGUGAAGAAGGCCUGCGGGUUGUAAAGCACUUUCAGUGGGGAGGAAGGCCUCGGCGUUAAUAUCGUCGAGGAUUGACGUUACCUACAGAAGAAGCACCGGCUAACUCUGUGCCAGCAGCCGCGGUAAUACAGAGGGUGCAAGCGUUAAUCGGAAUUACUGGGCGUAAAGGGCGCGUAGGUGGUUAAUUAAGUCAGAUGUGAAAUCCCCGGGCUUAACCUGGGAAUUGCAUUUGAAACUGAUUGGCUAGAGUACGGGAGAGGGUAGUGGAAUUUCAGGUGUAGCGGUGAAAUGCGUAGAUAUCGGAAGGAACACCAGUGGCGAAGGCGACUUCCUGGCCCGUUACUGACACUGAGGCGCGAAAGCGUGGGGAGCGAACA
rnacentral:rRNA from 1 species